CUUAUGCUAAUUUAUCUUUACACAGACUAUGAGGUAAAAACCCAAAGUCAUGCGAUGACAAGGAAUGCAGGGUGUGUCGCAGAUUACAAAGCAAAAUGUGGAAGUGGGUUUUACAUAACAAAGGUGGGACCUUGUCCCUGGCAUUGGCCCCUCUGGCUCCUCUUUUGUAGCCACGUAGAUCAGGUCAUGAAUGCUAGUGUAAUUUAUGCAGGGCACAGAAGGUACCCUGAGCAGUAGUUUGGAACUUCCAGCUGGGGUGCCAGGGAGUCAUUUCCAAGGCCCCAGCUCAGCUGUAGCUCUGGCAAUCUGAACAGGAAUCUCCCCUCCUCUUGUCUCUGAACUAGCCAGAAACAUAAAGAGCCUGAAAAUGAUGGAUGCAGGGAGGGAGAAAUGAAUCAAGGUGCAAGUCUGAGAGCCAGUGAAGAAUCAAAAUAUUCUGGAGAUAGCUCCUUGUGCCAAAUCCCAUUUUUCCUGGGGUUACCGGAGCACAAGACACAUCUGGGGAACCAGCCAAGGAAGAGGCCUCAUGGAAUUUUAAGCAUCAUGAAAACAAAAGAAAUCCAGGCGUAGGCCACCUACAUAUUUAUGUAUGGGUGUGAUUCAAUACAGUAAUGAGACAUUUCAUUCUUUGUGCCCAAAGACAAGACAACUGAUAGAACGUCAAGGAAAGGGAAAAGCUUUAUCAUAGCAAAUAUGACAGCUUCUACAAAACUUGCCUUUCCCAAGUUCUGGGUAUCAUUUGAAAUCUUUUACAUAUGUUAAUUGUUUAAUUAUCACAACAACUCUGAAAUAGGACACUUAGUGCUCAUGCCACAGUGCCUAUCCCCUAAAAAUUGCUUAUUAAAAAUGAAGGUCACAAGAGCUCAUCCUACAAUCACAAGCUUUCCGAAGAAAGUACAUUCAGUGCAAUGGAGUGUGGCGUAUCAUAGGAUUACUGUGAGUUCUCUUUAAUUUAUACAUUUAAAAGUAAUUCUUUCGCAGACUUUGGAACUCUAUUGUUAGUAACAAAUGACUUGCACCGCUGCUGACAGCCCACUGCAGUACCUCAGUGUGUUGUGACACCACCAGGGUGGGGAACCAUUGGCUUGGAAAAUAAACCUGAGCAGGAAGAUAUUUAUAUAAUUGUGUUGGAAAAGGCAGCUGGAAAGUGCAUGAAACUAGGCAUCAGCAGUGCGUGUCAGGCCUCCCAGCUUAGAGCUUUCCUGGAAAAGCAGGCAGGAAGAGGAGCCGGCGGGAAAGCAGACACAUCACAGAGGUGCAGAUGGCCCCGCAGAGUGAAGCUCUGGGACGCAUGCUGCCUGGCAAGAUCACAGGACGUAAGUCCCUGAACCCAUAGCGUUACAGAAGAUGAAUUCAGCCCUGGCCGAGAUUGUCCCUCUUUGAAGGAGCAAACGGGGGCCCACUUUUCCCAGGACUUCUGCGUGUUUCCUGCCGGCCCUUCCAGGUCAGCUGUGUGGCCCUGGUCAGAUCACUUAAUGACACCAGGAGGGAUGAAGUAUGUGACUCCUGAAGUGCCACCCAGUGCAGAAAGCCUGUGAUGCUUUGAUUAGAAGUGGCUGGUUUGUGAUUUUGAUUCCCGUGGAGGAAGGCUAGCUCUGAUUACUAGACGUCCAUUGCCCGUUUUCCUCCUGUCUUCAAUCUUCCGCCAGCAGUCCACCUCCACGUUGUUUUCUUUUUCAUUUCAAAUGGAUUUGUUUUUCAUAAAGCCCUCCUGUGUCCCUGGCCUACAGAUACCAGGACAUACAUUGUUUGGUUUCAACCCAUAAAAGCAUUAUUUAGAUUAAAACCUAAGACACAACUAUAUAGCUAAAUGCUAGGUCCACAAAUUUCCCUUGGUUAGUAGGCCCUUUCUUUUCCCAGUCCGUUCCCACCUAAAAUGCAUUUUGUGUUAUUUCAUCAAAGAGGAGAAGUUAUGUUAUGGAACUUUGUUUUCAAACAUCAACAUAUGCCUUUUGGUUACAUUUCAGAUAAUCAGGAUGGACUUAAAUCCCAUUUACUGUGCUAAUUAGCACAAGCAUCUCAAAGUCUGCACCCAGACUCUAGUGGUUACUUAGGCAGUGCGGCUGUAAACACCGUGCGGGACUUUCUAGGAACUCAGAGGACCUAAGAACAACCCAGUGGACUUGAUGUUGAGGUUAAAGACAAAUAAAACAUAAGUGCCGCCCUUCAGACUGCUAGAACAGGAAAAUCCACCGAAGAGGAGCUUACAAGGUACCUAUCGAAGUCCAGCUGGAUUGGAUGCAGGACCUAAGUGUGUCAUUAAAAAGAGGAAAACUGAAUCAGUAAUAAGCUUUUGGAGGGCCUUGCUUGAAAAAGCUUGAAUGGACAUCUUAUUUUUUGAAAGAUGCUAUGUUGCUGUACAGUUGUUCUCCAUCCAUUUUAAACUACUCGUGUUUCCCAACAAUAAGUAUUUUUGUGAUUUCAUCUGUUUUCUAAGGCGUCCCAUGGAGACGGGCAGCCCCUGAGCUCCACAGCACACGUAUUUUGCACCUGCAUUGAAAAGCUUCAGCUGAUUUGACCGGUUUCCUCCCGUCUAUUUUAAACCGCUCCUCCUCUCCCCUUCUGAAAUAAAUGUGUUGGUGCCCAUGAGUCAUACCCGGAUCACAGGCUUUUCAGAGUCCAAAGACCCUGACAGCUCCUCCAGCAAGAAUAGUUGUCGGUGAGAGCAGCCUCCUGUUGGUCAGGCAAGGCAGAAGUAGCUGCGGACAGGAAAGGCGAACCUGGGGCAUGAAGGAGCUGACUCCACCAAAGCAAUGGUGUGAGAUGUUCAGUUCCUUUUCACCUUUCUAUUUCAAGGCCUUCUUGAUUUCUCUGUUUGCCUAGUCUGGAGUCCUCAGGCAGGUGGGCUCUGUUUGUAUCCGUUUACUCUGGAAGCAGUUGCCGAGUUGUGUAUAAAGAGCCAGGCCUUGAGCUAUAUCUUGUGCAUGCAAAGGUAUUGCUUCCCCCAUUAAGCCUGUUUUGUAGCCCUAAGGAAAGUGAAGAGAGCAGAGAGUGAAAGGCACUAAAAUGUCGUAGAUGCUGGAAUGGGAGUCCGUGUUAGUGUGGUGGAGACUUAAUCCAGGAAGCCGAAAUUGCAUGCCUGCUUAUGUUUCUGAUCUGGAGAACAAAAGAGUCAACCUUUGUUAAAAAAAAAAAAACAACUUUGCAUACUUUUGCUAUACUUUCAUAUUGAUCUUCAAUAUGAUAUCACUAUAGUCUCAAACAGUAAAGACAGUUGUCACAACACCUGA